rnacentral:rRNA from 1 species
UACAGAGGUCCCAAGCGUUGUUCGGAUUCACUGGGCGUAAAGGGUGCGCAGGUGGUUUGGCAAGUUUGACGUGAAAGCCCCGGGCUUAACCCGGGAACGGCGUUGAAAACUGCUUGAACUGGAGGGUUGGAGGGGGGACUGGAAUUCUUGGUGUAGCAGUGAAAUGCGUAGAUAUCAAGAGGAACACCAGUGGCGAAGGCGAGUCCCUGGACAAACCCUGACACUGAGGCACGAAAGCCAAGGGAGCAAACAGG